UACGUAGGGGGCAAGCGUUAUCCGGAUUUACUGGGUGUAAAGGGAGCGUAGACGGCAUGGCAAGCCAGAUGUGAAAGCCCGGGGCUCAACCCCGGGACUGCAUUUGGAACUGUCAGGCUAGAGUGUCGGAGAGGAAAGCGGAAUUCCUAGUGUAGCGGUGAAAUGCGUAGAUAUUAGGAGGAACACCAGUGGCGAAGGCGGUUUUCUGGACGAUGACUGACGUUGAGGCUCGAAAGCGUGGGGAGCAAACAGG
rnacentral:rRNA from 1 species